CUCCUUCAACAUAAUUUCGGUGAUUAAGGAUUUGAUUGUUGCAGGUUCUCCCAUCUAUAAAGGUUUCAAUUGGAAGAAACUGCAAAAGCAAAAUGAUCUCCAUCGACGCUUUUUAAAAAUGCCAAGGAAAUUCAUAUUAGUGAUAUUAUGCAUAAGUCACAGAAUUCGAUACAGGCACGAUAUUGCACAUUUAAGGUAAAGAUAACUACUAUUUUAAAUAGGCUCGAGCCAUGGUUCUAUGCUUGCAAAGGCUGUGACAAGAAGGUUGAUAAAGAUGUUAGUAAAGAGUGUCUGAAUGACAAAUGCCGCAGAAUCAUUGAUGACCCAGUACCAAGGUUAAGUA